GACGAACGCUGGCGGCGUGCCUAACACAUGCAAGUCGAACGGAGUAAGUAGCAAUACUUACUUAGUGGCGAACGGGUGAGUAACGCGUAGACAACCUGCCUCUAAACUGGGGACAACACCGCGAAAGUGGUGCUAAUACCGAAUGUGGUAUCUUCGCUGCAUGGUGAAGAUAAGAAAGAUGGCCUCUAUAUAUAAGCUAUCGUUUAGAGAUGGGUCUGCGUCUGAUUAGCUAGUUGGUGAGGUAACGGCUCACCAAGGCGACGAUCAGUAGCCGGUCUGAGAGGAUGAACGGCCACACUGGGACUGAGACACGGCCCAGACUCCUACGGGAGGCAGCAGUAGGGAAUCUUCGGCAAUGGACGCAAGUCUGACCGAGCAACGCCGCGUGAGUGAGGAAGGGUUUCGGCUCGUAAAACUCUGUUGCCAAGGAAGAAAGACAAGGAGAGUAACUGCUCUUUGUUUGACGGUAC
rnacentral:rRNA from 1 species